rnacentral:rRNA from 1 species
ACGGAAGGCAGCAGUGGGGAAUAUUGGACAAUGGGGGAAACCCUGAUCCAGCGAUGCCGCGUGAGUGAAGAAGUAUUGCGGUAUGUAAAGCUCUUUAAGCAGGAAAGAAAAUGACGGUACCUGCAGAAUAAGCCCCGGCUAACUACGUGCCAGCAGCCGCGGUAAUACGUAGGGGGCAAGCGUUAUCCGGAUUUACUGGGUGUAGAGGGAGCGUAGACGGCAAUGCAAGUCUGAAGUGAAAGCCCGCGGCUUAACUGCGGGACUGCUUUGGAAACUGCAUGGCUAGAGUGUCGGAGAGGUGAGUGGAAUUCCCAGUGUAGCGGUGAAAUGCGUAGAUAUUGGGAGGAACACCGGAGGCGAAGGCGGCUCACUGGACGAUCACUGACGUUGAGGCUCGAAAGCGUGGGGAGCAAACAGGAUUAGAUACCCUGGUA